CGAGCGGCGGACGGGUGAGUAAUGCUUGGGAAUAUGCCUUAUGGUGGGGGACAACAGUUGGAAACGACAGCUAAUACCGCAUGAUGUCUACGGACCAAAGUGGGGGACCUUCGGGCCUCACGCCAUAAGAUUAGCCCAAGUGGGAUUAGCUAGUUGGUGAGGUAAUGGCUCACCAAGGCGACGAUCCCUAGCUGGUUUGAGAGGAUGAUCAGCCACACUGGGACUGAGACACGGCCCAGACUCCUACGGGAGGCAGCAGUGGGGAAUAUUGCACAAUGGGCGCAAGCCUGAUGCAGCCAUGCCGCGUGUGUGAAGAAGGCCUUCGGGUCGUAAAGCACUUUCAGUAAGGAGGAAAGGUUAAGUGUUAAUAGCACUUAGCUGUGACGUUACUUACAGAAGAAGCACCGGCUAACUCCGUGCCAGCAGCCGCGGUAAUACGGAGGGUGCGAGCGUUAAUCGGAAUUACUGGGCGUAAAGCGUACGCAGGCGGUUUGUUAAGCGAGAUGUGAAAGCCCCGGGCUCAACCUGGGAACUGCAUUUCGAACUGGCAAACUAGAGUGUGAUAGAGGGUGGUAGAAUUUCAGGUGUAGCGGUGAAAUUCGUAGAUAUUUGGAGGAACACCAGUGGCGAAGGCGGCUCACUGGCUCGAUACUGACGCUGAGGUGCGAAAGUGUGGGGAGCAAACAGGAUUAGAUACCCUGGUAG
rnacentral:rRNA from 1 species